rnacentral:rRNA from 1 species
CGAGCUGGGUUUAGAACGUCGUGAGACAGUUCGGUCCCUAUCUGCCGUGGGCGCUGGAGAACUGAGGGGGGCUGCUCCUAGUACGAGAGGACCGGAGUGGACGCAUCACUGGUGUUCGGGUUGUCAUGCCAAUGGCACUGCCCGGUAGCUAAAUGCGGAAGAGAUAAGUGCUGAAAGCAUCUAAGCACGAAACUUGCCCCGAGAUGAGUUCUCCCUGACUCCUUGAGAGUCCUGAAGGAACGUUGAAGACGACGACGUUGAUAGGCCGGGUGUGUAAGCGCAGCGAUGCGUUGAGCUAACCGGUACUAAUGAACCGUGAGGCUUAACCUUACAACGCCGAAG